AUUGAACGCUGGCGGCAGGCUUAACACAUGCAAGUCGAGCGAGCGGCGGACGGGUGAGUAAUGUCUGGGGAUCUGCCUGAUGGAGGGGGAUAACUACUGGAAACGGUAGCUAAUACCGCAUACCAUCGGAUGUACCCAUAUGGGAUUAGCUAGUAGGUGGGGUAAAGGCUCACCUAGGCGACGAUCCCUAGCUGGUCUGAGAGGAUGAUCAGCCACACUGGAACUGAGACACGGCCCAGACUCCUACGGGAGGCAGCAGGGGGGAAUAUUGCACAAUGGGCGCAAGCCUGAUGCAGCCAUGCCGCGUGUAUGAAGAAGGCCUUCGGGUUGUAAAGUACUUUCAGCGAGGAGGCGUUACCCGCAGAAGAAGCACCGGCUAACUCCGUGCCAGCAGCCGCGGUAAUUC
rnacentral:rRNA from 1 species